rnacentral:rRNA from 1 species
AGGGGGCUAGCGUUGUUCGGAAUUACUGGGCGUAAAGCGCGCGUAGGCGGGCUAUUAAGCCAGAUGUGAAAGCCCGGGGCUCAACCUCGGAAUUGCAUUUGGAACUGGUAGCCUAGAGACCAGGAGAGGUUAGCGGAAUACCGAGUGUAGAGGUGAAAUUCGUAGAUAUUCGGUGGAACACCAGUGGCGAAGGCGGCUAACUGGACUGGUACUGACGCUGAGGUGCGAAAGUGUGGGGAGCAAACAGGAUUAGAUACCCUGGUAGUUCACGCCGUAAACGAUGAAUGCCAGCCGUUAGUGGGUUUACUCACUAGUGGCGCAGCUAACGCUUUAAGCAUUCCGCCUGGGGAGUACGGUCG